AGUGAACGCUGGCGGUAGGCCUAACACAUGCAAGUCGAACGGCAGCACAGUAAGAGCUUGCUCUUACGGGUGGCGAGUGGCGGACGGGUGAGGAAUGCAUCGGAAUCUACUUUUUCGUGGGGGAUAACGUAGGGAAACUUACGCUAAUACCGCAUACGACCUACGGGGGAAAGCAGGGGAUCUUCGGACCUUGCGCGAUUGAAUGAGCCGAUGUCGGAUUAGCUAGUUGGCGGGGUAAAGGCCCACCAAGGCGACGAUCCGUAGCUGGUCUGAGAGGAUGAUCGCCCACACUGGAACUUGGACACGGUCCAGACUCCUACGGGAGGCAGCAGUGGGGAAUAUUGGACAAUGGGCGCAAGCCUUAUCCAGCCAUACCGCGUGGGUGGAGAAGGCCUUCGGGUUGUAAAGCCCUUUUGUUGGGAAAGAAAAGCAGCAGGUUAAUACCCCGCUGUUCUGACGGUACCCAAAGAAUAAGCACCGGCUAACUUCGUG
rnacentral:rRNA from 1 species